rnacentral:rRNA from 1 species
UACGGAGGGUGCAAGCAUUAAUCGGAUUUAUUGGGCGUAAAGGGCGUGUAGGCGGUUUUGUAAGUCAGAUGUGAAAUCCUGGAGCUCAACUCCAGAACGGCAUUUGAAACUACAUGGCUAGAGGGUAGAGGGAGAAAACAGAAUUCCACAAGUAGCGGUGAAAUGCGUAGAUAUGUGGAGGAAUACCUGUGGCGAAAGCGGUUUUCUACUUUAUUCCUGACGCUGAGGCGCGAAAGCAAGGGGAGCAAACAGG